UACGUAGGCAGCGAGCGUUGUUCGGAAUUACUGGGCGUAAAGGGCGCGUAGGCGGCCAUCUAAGUCAGACGUGAAAUCCCCCGGCUUAACCUGGGAACUGCGUCUGAUACUGGACGGCUUGAGUAUGGGAGAGGGAUGUAGAAUUCCAGGUGUAGCGGUGAAAUGCGUAGAUAUCUGGAGGAAUACCGGUGGCGAAGGCGGCAUCCUGGACCAUUACUGACGCUGAGGCGCGAAAGCUAGGGGAGCAAACGGG
rnacentral:rRNA from 1 species